UCCGGCUUACACCGGCGGUCUCGUGUGAGUCCCCGACUUUACUCGCUGGUAACACACGACGAGGGUUGCGCUCGUUGGCGGACUUAACCGUACACCUCACGGCACGAGCUGACGACAGCCAUGCAACAAGUGUCUUCACGUCCCCUUGUGGGGGAGGGCCCUAUUUCUAAGGCUUGCGAUCGAUGUCAAGUCUGGGUAAGGUUCUUCGGUUAGUAUCGAAUUAAUCCACAUGCUCCACCGCUUGUGCGGGUCCCCGUCAAUUCAUUUGAGUUUCAACCUUGCGGCCGUACUCCCCAGGCGGGAUGCUUAAUGCGUUAGCUGCGCCACUGAAGGGUAAACCCCCCAACGGCUAGCAUCCAUCGUUUACGGCGUGGACUAC
rnacentral:misc_RNA from 1 species